AACAAUCUGUUCCAACAUUACACACACACAAAAGCCGUAAUGAAGUUAUUACGAGCGAGUAACAUUUCGGCAUUCCGUUAACGGACGACAACAACAUUAAAAUCAUUAUGUUAAAUCUCUCAAUAAAACAUUUCCUGAUUAUUUACCUACGCCUUGUCUUUAGUCAAAUGGACAAUAAUGUUUUUGAAGUUCAGUUUUUUCCAUAUCCAUAGUGAUCAGUUAGUAUGAUACUUCAUCACACGAGCCGACCCACUUUUUACAAAACACACAAAAUAACUUUUAAAAACAAAACACCUCUGUGCAGAUUGCGUCCCGUUAAAGGAACAGUUCACUCAAAAAUGAAAUGUACUCACGAAUUAUUUGCCCUGUAAAUAAUAAGUGAUUCCAAACCUUUAAGUUUCUUUAUUCUGUUGAACACUAAAGACUGUAAGCAUUUGCUUUCAUGGUAGGAAAACACUAUGGAAUUAAAUAGUUACAGUUUUCCAGCUUUAUUUAAUACAUCUUCUUUAUUGUUUAGCAGAAAAAAAGCUAAAUAAGUUUGGAACAAAUAAAGAAUGAGGCUAAAAUGGCAGAAUUGUCAGUUUUGGGUGAGCUAUCCCUAUAAGUUAAAGUAUAUAAAUUGAGGUUCAUAUGCCUAAUUAAUAUAGAUAGUAAUUAAAAGGUCUGCUAGUCUAAAUUUCUAUUUUGAUGGGUCUUUUGAUGUUUUAUUUAAAACCCACUCUUUUCUUUACUCAACAGGCUAUUUUUACAUGGAGAAUGUUUUCAGCUGUUGAAUUCACCUCAGAUCAGUGUUGCUGUAAUUCCUGAUGGAAAGAAGAAUUGAAUGAGCGAGCAACGCCACAACUACAGGACCUCUUCUCAUAAUUUACACUGGAUUAUCCGUUGAAUUUGUUUCUUCCUCUGACUGCUUUCUCCAUACCAACAACUACGACUGGUCUUCAGCUGCGCUCCCCGGUCUGCUGUAUUCUCCAGUCCAGAGCUUCACUGCCCAGUGUUUGAAUUUUAAUUUAUAUAUUUAUUUAUAUAUUUAUUUACCUUUUAAUGAUUUCUUGUUUACUUUUCUUGUUUGUUUACCCUUUAGUUUAAUUAUAUAUAUAUAUAUAUAUAUAUAUAUAUAUAUAUAUAUAUAUAUAUAUAUAUAUAUAUAUAUAAACUUUAUUUUAUACUGUUUGCUUAUAAUUAGAUACUGUAUGUGUACUGUAUUUAUUAAAUGUUGUGAAAUAUAUAAUAAAAAGUUUGAUAUUCAUUUGUGUGGCAUUUUUACACUUUAAAGUUUACACAUGCAGUUUUUAAAUUAAAUAGGAAAAAUAAAUGAACAAUAUUUCAUAUUAAGCAAUACUGGAAAAGAAUUGCUGCUUAUCCUGUAUUCUAGGCAGUAAUGAUAAACUGCCACAAAAAAAUAUCAAUACAAGUAGUAAGAACGCCGCCUCGCGGUUGCUGAAUGUCGCACGACAACGUUGCUACAGCCUUCUCACGUCUUACAUUUCUACGUUGUGACAAUGUAGCGAGCACGUAAGCGGCAACGUUGCCUUUGAAAAAAUACAACGUUGUGCAGACAUCGCUACAACGUAAAUGUGUUUGUUGGGCGACCCUCAUGAUGUUUAAAUGGCAACCUUAUGACAUCGUUGUGACAACCUUUAGCAACAACGUAGAAUCCUCAACCUUUUUGCAAUGUUGAUACAACGUUGUAGGAAGGUCGCUACGUUGAGGCAACGUUGUGUGUUUGUUGGGAAUUUUUGUUAUGUUUAUUUAAACGUUUCAAUCUCUUCUGCAUUGCUGUCUUCUGAGCGCAUGCUAUUUGAUAUGUAAUUCACAACAUGAAGAAAAUGAUUUUUUUCUCUUUUUCUUUUAUUUGAUCAAGCCAUACAAAAUAAAACGAACAUAUACAGUCAAGGCC
rnacentral:lncRNA from 1 species